rnacentral:rRNA from 1 species
ACAGAAUUUAAACUGGAGAGUUUGAUUCUGGCUCAGAACAAACGCUGGCGGCGUGCCUAAUACAUGCAAGUCGAACGGGGAAAGCUUUCGGGUGAGUACUAGUGGCGCACGGGUGAGGAACGCGUGGAUAAUCUGCCUUAGAGUGGGGGAUAACUAGUCGAAAGAUUAGCUAAUACCGCAUAAGACCACAGGAGCUGCGGCUCAAGGGGUCAAAGGUUUUUCGCUCUAAGAUGAGUCCGCGUAAGAUUAGCUAGUUGGUGAGGUAACGGCUCACCAAGGCGACGAUCUUUAACUGGUCUGAGAGGAUGAUCAGUCACACUGGAACUGAGACACGGUCCAGACUCCUACGGGAGGCAGCAGUAGGGAAUAUUGCACAAUGGAGGAAACUCUGAUGCAGCGACGCCGCGUGAGUGAUGAAGGCCUUCGGGUCGUAAAGCUCUGUCGCAGGGGAAUAACACAAUGAAUGUACCCUGUAAGAAAGGAUCGGCUAACUUCGUGCCAGCAGCCGCGGUAAGACGAGGGAUCCUAGCGUUGUUCGGAAUUAUUGGGCGUAAAGCGGAUGUAGGUGGCUUUGUAAGUCAGAUGUGAAAGCCCAGGGCUCAACCCUGGAAGUGCAUUUGAUACUGCGAAGCUUGAGUGUCGGAGAGGUUACUAGAAUUGUUGGUGUAGUGGUGAAAUACGUAGAUAUCAACAGGAAUACCGGAGGCGAAGGCGGGUAACUGGCCGAACACUGACACUGAGAUCCGAAAGCGUGGGGAUCAAACAGGAUUAGAUACCCUGGUAGUCCACGCCGUAAACGAUGGAUACUUGUUGUUGGAGGUAUUGACCCCUUCAGUGACGAAGCUAACGCGUUAAGUAUCCCGCCUGGGGAGUACGGUCGCAAGAUUAAAACUCAAAGAAAUUGACGGGGGCCCGCACAAGCGGUGGAGCAUGUGGUUUAAUUCGAUGCAACGCGAAGAACCUUACCUAGGCUUGACAUGUACUGGAAGAUUGGCAGAAAUGUCGUCGCCCGCAAGGGUCGGUACACAGGUGCUGCAUGGCUGUCGUCAGCUCGUGUCGUGAGAUGUUGGGUUAAGUCCCGCAACGAGCGCAACCCCUGCAUUUAGUUGCCAGCAUUCAGUUGGGCACUCUAGAUGGACUGCCGGUGUUAAACCGGAGGAAGGUGGGGAUGACGUCAAGUCCUCAUGGCCCUUAUGCCUAGGGCUACACACGUGCUACAAUGGUAGUCACAGAGCGAAGCUAAGCCGCGAGGUAGAGCAAAUCGCUUAAAAGCUAUCUAAGUUCAGAUUGAUCUCUGCAACUCGAGAUCAUGAAGUUGGAAUCGCUAGUAAUCGCGGAUCAGAAUGCCGCGGUGAAUACGUUCCCGGGCCUUGUACACACCGCCCGUCACACCAUGAAAGUCGGCUGUACCAGAAGUCGCUGCGCUAACCGUAAGGAGGCAGGCGCCCAAGGUAUGGUCGAUGAUUGGGGUGAAGUCGUAACAAGGUAGCCGUAGGGGAACCUGCGGCUGGAUCACCUCCUUUCUAAGG